rnacentral:rRNA from 1 species
UACGGGGGGUGCGAGCGUUGUCCGGAAUCACUGGGCGUAAAGGGCGCGUAGGUGGUUUGAUAAGGGUGUGGUGAAAGUCCGGGGCUCAACCCCCGGAUCUGCCGUGCCGACUGUCAAACUCGAGGGCUGUAGAGGCAGACGGAAUUCCGGGUGUAGCGGUGGAAUGCGUAGAGAUCCGGAGGAAGACCGGUGGCGAAGGCGGUCUGCUGGGCAGUUUCUGACACUGAUGCGCGACAGCGUGGGGAGCAAACAGG